GAGUUUGAUCCUGGCUCAGAUUGAACGCUGGCGGCAUGCCUUACACAUGCAAGUCGAACGGCAGCACGGGAGCUUGCUCCUGGUGGGCGAGUGGCGAACGGGUGAGUAAUGCAUCGGAACGUAUCCUGGAGUGGGGGAUAACGUAGCGAAAGUUACGCUAAUACCGCAUAUUCUGUGAGCAGGAAAGCGGGGGACCUUCGGGCCUCGCGCUCUUGGAGCGGCCGAUGUCGGAUUAGCUAGUUGUGAGGUAAAGGCUCACCAAGGCGACGAUCCGUAGCAGGUCUGAGAGGAUGAUCUGCCACACUGGAACUGAGACACGGUCCAGACUCCUACGGGAGGCAGCAGUGGGGAAUUUUGGACAAUGGGGGCAACCCUGAUCCAGCCGAUGCCGCGUGAGUGAAGAAGGCC
rnacentral:rRNA from 1 species